rnacentral:lncRNA from 1 species
UUUUUUUUUUUGAACAAAUCCUCCAAAUCUUAUGAAUAAGUUCUCAGAUUCAUACUUUGGCUCUUUUAUCAAAUUUAAAAUAGAUACUUAAAUUACAACUAGAAACUUAUACGAAAAUUCAGAAAUGAGGGAUGUUACAGCUACCUCCCAUCACAGCCUCCUAUGAGAAGCGAGUUGAAACCAUUCUGGCGGACUACAAGAUGAAGCUACCCAACGGAGCUGAG